UCCUCCGCCUCAAAGGUCGGUCUUCAUUCAGUCACGCCACAGCAAGUGGCAACUCUUCAAGGCGGAAGCGUCCGCUAGAACGGAGGCUUUCACUGACUUGCUUUCCUUUUGGGAGAGGAAGAAUCUAAAAGCAGGAAAAAAAGAUGGCCUGACUAAUCAUAAAAGGCUGCCGCUAUCUGGCAGGCAAGAUUGGCAGUGUUUUCAGCUCCUCCAGUAAGACCAAGGCUCAGAGCAGCCAGGUCAAAGGUGAGAAGCAUGACCUGGCAAAUGCAUCAGCAAAUGAUGACUUGCUCCCAGAAACGCUGCCAAAAUCCGGAGCUGUGGUCAAGCAGUGCGGGUCCUGAGGGUAAAGGCUGUACUGGUCUCCGUCCUGGCUACGCAGAUCAGUGCAUCAUGGUGACCUCCUGACAAGACUACAUAUGUACAUCAUGGCAAAGAAUGAUGAUUUGCUCAGUAACUCUCUGUCCAGGGAGAUGAGCACUUCUGAAAAUACCUGCUGUGUUUUUAAAGUUUUCCAAUUAAAAAUCACUUGUGCUUAA